GAAGCCUGAACUCGAGUAGGGCCCAAGCAAGCCAGGAAGGAGGAGGCAGCCAGAGUGGCCACCACUGUUCUCAGCAGCAGAAGACCCCCUGCUGCCCUGCCGAAUCCAGCAUUUGCCAGGCAAAUCAGAUGUGUGCCAAAAGGCUACUGAGAUACAGAGAAGGAUCCUGAAUGCUGGAGGAAGGUGACCUUCUACCACCUAAAGAUGAGUCUUAGCUUUUGGGAUAACAACUUCUCCAACUACUAGGAUAGGUUUACUUCUAAAAGGAAAUGCACUACUAUUCCUCGAAAAAAAAGGAAGAUUUGCAGAAGCACCGACAAAGUGGCGAGUCCUAUGCAGCCAGCAUCCUUCUUGGGUAUGCAGCUCGCUGUGUUUUAUAGGCUAAUUAAUUUCUCUGCAACAGUGAGUACCAAACCCUGGUGGAGGAGUUGGCAGCAUCAGUUGUGACAGUCUGCAGCUUUUUCAGACACCUGCUCUAGCAGCACAUUUCCUCCAAAAUCCUCAUUUUUCCUCUACAUGUGAAGUGAAUGACAGAUGAUUCCUAGAAGAUGUGGGAAAUAAUGCUUGGAAGAUUGGACAGAGCUUCCUGGGGUGACCUCAAACCUUCAUCCAGGGGAUAGUUGUCCAACCCAACCCAGACCAAGUGUUGUGAACAGGUCUAAGGGGGAUGUGCUGAGAGCCAAGGUUAAGGAACAAGGACCAUGAACAAGGAAGAGGAGAUCUAUAGAUCAUGAUGCUUUGCUACCAUCUUUUACCAUCACAUCAACACCAAGUUUGCCCAAUGAAGGUCAAGUGUAGGAAUGUGUCCUCAGUACCGAUCGAAAUCCAUUGAAAUUGCUGACGGGAACAAAGGUGAGAUGGCAGUAUUUUGGACAUUGUAUGAGCAGAAUAAUUUGAAAUGCAGAUAAAAAGGUGGUGACAUAUGACUUCAACUCAGCUAACCAACCUGGAGGGGUGAUGUGGAUGUCAACACUGAUUGAAUACAUGUCCCUUCGAAAGUUUGCACAUACUUGUGAGUGGACCACCACCAUAGUUCAGGACCGUGUUAAAAAAGGAAGUUGAUCACUCACUUGAGUAGCGGUCCAAUCAACCAAAAUGCAAACACUUCCUGAUGCAAAGAGAAUCGGUCGAUGUGUCUUGAAUGACAGUUUCCCCUGGGAACACCUUAAAACAGCUCAUCCAAACAGUUUGGGACAUGUACUCUUGAUUCUUUAUGGGAAGUUUCCUACAACUCCUGUAACACCAGUUGUGCAAUUUGGAAGAAGGCCACAUCUUGUCCAGAUGGUUUUUGGACCAAUACCCUGAGAUUCCAAGUUGGACCCGAGUUCUCUGCUGUUUCUGCCUAUAGCAAGGACAAUGUUUUCACUGAUGGACAUAUCAGAUAUGGCUAUGGCAACCUCGACUUUACACAUGUACAAGUUUUGGGAUCUGACUGUCAACCUAGAUUCCAGUGGACUAUUUUCCUAGUGCAACAGUGUUCCAGGGUUUCCAGAGACAUCACCUAUGCCUGGUGCAGCAUUCCAUGUGAUGUAUCAUGCAAGAAUCGCUGUCCUACUGUUCCUUCACCAGAUGAUGUUUCCACGAUGCUUACUCAUCCUGUCAAAAUGCCACAACCCUUCAAAUCGCCUUUGAAGUAGAACUCAAACUAAACUGGGAAAGUUGCCAAGAUGCGUUUGGUCCUUGCCCUUCAGUGUACCCCCAAAAUAACACCCUUUGACAUUUGGAAAUUGCUUGAAACUUUUAAAGUAACAGAUCAUAGUGAAGAUGGCAGAGAGGGCAUGUUUCUGCCACCAUUGCCCCCAAAGCCUAGUUUUUCUUCAAACCAUUGUCAAGCAGACUGGUCAACCUGGCCAUAGAAAAAUGCCCUUCCUGGGGUCUAACACUAUGUUUUCCCCAACCAUACCUAUUUGAGGAAGCUUGUCACAUGACAGCCUUCCAGGUCAUAAUUGUUUGGCUUAAAUAGGCCACAUUUGUACUGCUAAAUGAGAACACAUUGUAAAAAUAAACUCAUAUCACUAUUUUAAAAAUAUUAGUUAUCAGAAUCCAAUAAAAUUCAUCUGAAUUCA